UACGGGGGGGAGCGAGCGUUAUCCGGAUUUACUGGGCGUAAAGGGUGUGCAGGCGGGCUGUUAAGUGGUGUAUGAAAUAUCCCGGCUCAACCGGGAGAGGUUAUGCCAGACUGGCAGUCUAGAGAGCGAGAGAGGGACGUGGAAUUCCGGGUGUAGUGGUGAAAUGCGUAGAGAUCCGGAGGAACCCCAGAGGCGAAGGCGGCGUCCUGGCUCGCAUCUGACGCUCAGACACGACAGCAUGGGGAGCAAACAGG
rnacentral:rRNA from 1 species